rnacentral:rRNA from 1 species
CCUACGGGAGGCAGCAGUGGGGAAUUUUGCGCAAUGGGCGUAAGCCUGACGCAGCAACGCCGCGAUGAGGGACGAAGGCCUUCGGGUUGUAAACCUCUUUCGACAGGAACGAAAUUGACGGUACCUGUAGAAGAAGCCCCGGCCAACUACGUGCCAGCAGCCGCGGUAAU